CCAAAGAUGGCGGGCCCCCGCGCCCCCGUCCCCAACCCAUUGUUGACCAAACCCCUUUUGCCUCGGGGGCAGAGCGUCCGCCGCCGCCCCCGGAGGACCGCCGAACGCUGUCUCUUUGCGUCAGAGUAUUGAUUAAAUAAAUGA
rnacentral:misc_RNA from 2 species